rnacentral:rRNA from 1 species
UACGUAGGGUGCAAGCGUUGUCCGGAUUUAUUGGGUUUAAAGGGUGCGUAGGUGGCUGAUUAAGUCAUGGGUGAAAGCCCGCAGCUCAACUGUGGAAUUGCCUGUGAUACUGAUUAGCUUGAGUGCGGUUGAGGCAGCGGGAAUUGGUGGUGUAGCGGUGAAAGGCAUAGAUACCACCAGGAACACCGAUUGCGAAGGCAGGUUGCUAAGCCGUAACUGACACUGAGGCACGAAAGCGUGGGGAGCAAACAUG